AUGAGGCAUCAUGUUUUCUACAUUUCAUUUAUGCAGUAUCACCUUGAUUCUCACUAUAUCCAUCAAGUUUCAGAAUACAUGCUUAAGGCUCCAAAAGUGUUUGGUUUAACUGUUGUAAAAUUCAUGAAGUACUAUAAAAAUUUUGGCGAUUGGUUCUAUAUGGAUGUGCACGUGAAGCAAAACAAAGAUGAUCCAAAAGGUUAUGUUCCCGGAAGGGCCCGUGUUCCUCCAACUUCAUCUGCUCCACCUCUUGCUUCUACAUAUGUAUCACCCCCUCUAUGA